CGAGAAGCUCCAGGUUAUCCGGAGUCAACGGAGGAGGAGGAGCCGGUAACAUACAUUUGUUACUUGGAAAAUGGGAAGUAUUUUUCUUUUCUCAUCUGACAAGAGCAAAUGCCAUUCAUUUUCUGCCAUCAUGGCAAGGAAAAUGCAUUUAAAAGACACAAAGCCACCUCACCACCUUGUGCAGAUACCAAGAAAAGGCCUAGUGAAAACAUAAGAAGAAGAUGGCUCUAUGCAAACCAGGAAGAGGACUCUCACCCAAAACUGAAUCUGCC
rnacentral:lncRNA from 1 species